GUGGUGUUCCGUCAAUAUGCAACUCGUUGCAUAUUGAUCUCCACUUAAUUUGUAGAACUGCUUGUGCACUUUGCCAUGCCAUGCUUCAUUAAACCGGACAUGCAUCAUACUCGUUUGUGCAUCAUGCCAUGUUGAUGUGAUGGUUAUUUACUAUGUUGUGUGCUUCUUUUCCGGUGAUUGCUUCUUCGGGUUGGUUCCGAUAACGUCGCGUUUGUGAGGAUCCGUUCGACUACGUCCGUUUAUCUUCUUCAUGGAUUCGUUCUUCUUCCUUGCGGGAUCUCAGGCAAGAUGAUCAUACCCUCGAAAUCACUACUAUCUUUGCUAUGCUAGUUUGCUCGCUCUUGCUAUGCCAAUGCUACGAUGCCUACCAUUUGCUUGUCAGCCUCCCAGAUUGCCAUGUCAAACCUCUAACCCACCAUGUCCUAGCAAACCGUUGAUUGGCUAUGUUACCGCUUUGCUCAGCCCCUCUUAUAGCGUUGUUAGUUGCAGGUGAAGAUCGAAGUUUGUUCCAUGUUGGAACAUGGAGAUGUUGUUCCUUGUUGGAAUAUUUAUUUACUUGUUGGGAUAUCACAAUAUAUCUUAUUUAAUUAAUGCAUCUAUAUACUGGUAAAGGGUGGAAGGCUCGGCCUUAUGUCUGGUGUUUUGUUCCACUCUUGCCGCCCUAGUUUCCGUCAUAUCGGUGUUAUGUUCCCGGAUUUUGCGUCCCUUACGCGGUUGGGCUAUUAUGGGAACCCCUUGACAGUUCGCCUUAAGUAAAGCUCUUCCAGCAAUGCCCAACAUUGGUUUUACCAUUCGCCACCUAGCCUCUUUUUCCCUUGGGUUUCGCGGACUCAAGGGUCAUCAUUAUUUUACCCCCCCGGGCCAGUGCUCCUCUGAGUGUUGGUCCAACCUGUCAGCUGCCGGUGGCCACCAGGGGCAACUCUGGGUUGGCCUACCCGUACCUAAGACAAUCUGAGUGUGCCCUGAGCAAGAGAUAUGUGCAGCUCCUAUCGGGAUUUGUCGGCACAUUCGGGCGGUGUUGCUGGUUUAGUUUUACCCUGUCGAAAUGUCUUGUUGUACCGGGAUACCGAGUCUGAUCGGAAUGUCUCGGGUGGAGGUCUAUUCCUUCGUUGACCGUGAGAGCUUGUGAUGGGCUAAGUUGGGACACCCUGCAGGGAUUUGAACUUUCGAAAGCCGUGCCCGCGGUUAUGGGCAGAUGGGAAUUUGUUAACGUCCGGUUGUAGAAAACCCGAAGUUGACCUUAAUUAAAAUACAUCAACCGCGUGUGUAACCGUGAUGGUCUCUUUCCGGCGGAGCCCGGGAAGUGAACACGGUUGUUGGAGUUAUGCUUGACGUAGGUAGUCCAGGAUCACUUCUUGAUCAUACUUUUAUCGACCGUGCUUUGCCUUCUCUUCUCGCUCUCAUUUGCGUAUGUUAGCCACCAUAUAUGCUAGUCGCUUGCUGCAGCUCCACCUCAUACCUUUGCCUUACCCAUAAGCUUAAAUAGUCUUGAUCUCGCGGGUGCGAGAUUGCUGAGUCCCUGUGGCUCACAGAUACUUCCAAAACCAGUUUGCAGGUGCCGAUGAGUUUGUGCAGUUGACGCAACCAAGCUCAGGAGGAGCUCAAUGAAGAUCUUGCCCUUUGUGUUGUUUCGUUCUAGUUGAUCAGUAGUGGAGCCCAGUUGGGGUCGAUCGGGGACCUUUGUCGCAUUUGGGGUUCUUCUUUUAUUUUGGUUCCGUAGUCGGACCUUGAUUGUAUCUGUAUGAUGUAAUGCUUUACUCAUGUAAUUGUGUGAAGUGGCGAUUGUAAGCCAACUAUGUAUCUCUUUCCCUUAUGUAUUACAUGGGUUGUGUGAAGAUUACCUCACUUGCGACAUUGCUUUCAAUGCGGUUAUGCC
rnacentral:lncRNA from 1 species